CUCUCUCUCUCUCUCUCUCUCUCUUUUGCUCUCCUGUUGCUGACUCUGCAUCCGGGUUUCUGCUCACCUGACUCUCAUACCUGUCGCAGGAGUCUUGUUUAUGCCCCAUCGCCUCGGCCUGAUCAGGUUGUUCCUUAUUUGUUUUUAUGUCGGAUUCUUACUUUCCUGGAGGCUGUCCCUCUGAGGUUUGUUGGCUGUAGCUGGGGAAGUCUGGCACUGGCUGCUUCUUCCUACGACCAAGCGACGCUGCUUCAUCAAUGUGAAACUUUAACUUGGAUUUAUUUCUGUUAUCAUCGCUCCCAGAGAGGGAUUCAGACGCCUUUUCUUUCUGAGCGAUCCUUUUCCCACUGAGAAGCUGGAGCGUCAACGUCACAUAGCGUUGCUUUAGCAACUUCCAGCUGCUCUCUGUGCGACGUUCACGAGCCACACGCUGAUGUUCCUUGUGGGCUAUGUCGGCGUUCCUGGUGCCUUUAGGUACAAAUUCAGCAAACCAUUCUCCCGAGG
ensembl:lncRNA